AUAGGGAAAAAUACUUUUAUCCGCAGCUUCAUCAUUCAGGAACACGGAAAAUAAAUUACAUCUUUUAUCAACGGUCGUAAUAAAUGUUGAAAAUCAGUAACACUGAACUUAUAUAGAGCUACCGUUCAAAUCAAAGUUUUUUAGAACUUAGUUUCACGGGUUUUCUCUUAGCUCAAAUCUCUCUCUCACAAAACCUAUAAUUUUCAAAGCUCUAGCAAUCACUAUUCACAUCUCAAAAUUUCUCUUCCAAUUUCCAUAACUAAACUUUUCAAAAUUUUUUUUUUUUUUUUCAUGGGACGAAGCUCCUCUCCGCCUGGCACUAGCGAGAGUGGUGGCAAUGGAGAAGGCGGUGACGCUUUCCGCUCAAUCCGCGAUCAUUUCCCUAUGAAGCGAAACUGACUCAAGUCCGACACGGAUCGUCCGGUUCUUCUCCGUAGUCGAUCUCACCCGACCCGCUUCAAUCGCAAGAGUUUGCCCUGGCUGAAGGAGAAGUCAGCAUUCUACUUCUUGGUGCUUCUUGCUGUGUUCCUCUAUGCAAUUUCGUCGAUGGUGUUGCAGAGCUUGAUCACAACGGUGUCAAGGCAAGGAAGCGAGCAAGGCCGGAGGUUGAAUAGGGAAGGAUUGAGGAUUGGAGUUGCGAGGCUGGAGGUUGAAUUGUCUCGAUUCGUUGUGAUCGAAGCUGAGGAUUGGAGUUAGGGCACCAAAGCUCGCACGUGUGAGGUUUUUCAAUUUCUUUGGUAUUUGAUUCUAAGUUAUUGUUUGCAUGUUUGAUUUUAUGGCUUUAGUAAAUAGUUCUCCUAGAAUGGAAUUUGAGUUUACUUCCUUUUAUUUUUGAUAGUGCAUUGGAAUUUCAAAGCUCACAUUAAUGCUUUGUUUGGUUGCUGUGAAAAUUAGAGUCCAUCAACGUGUUACUUUUGCAGUAUUUUCCUCAAUUUUUGAAACCAGAGGCCAAUAGGAAGGCCACAAACAACUUAGUCUAUGUUUUUCACAUUCUUACAACAAAUUUUGACUACAUCAUUAUGUGACAUUAUUCCACUAUGUCAUCACAUGUUGAUGCAGGGUAUAUAUUCCUUACCCGUUUCAAUGGGAAAGCCCCACAUUUCAUGCCGGAGAAGCUUUUGCUAUGAUUGCCGCUUCUUUUGUUUCACUUUUUGAGGCUCACUUCUAAGAAACAAAUUCAUGUAUUUCUUGUUUAUUAGCUAGCUACUCUGCGAUCAAGUUCUCUAAUUAUGAUAAGGAGGAGGUGAGGAGAGAAGAGAACACAGUGGGACCCAUGGCUAAGGAGGAGGAGGAGGUGGAGGUGGGGUCCAGCUUGACCAUGAAGAGGGUGGCUGUGGCUAAACAGUAUAUAAAGAGCCACUACAAGGCUUAGAUGAAGCACAUCCAAGAACACAAGGAGAGGUACUGGAAAUUGUCUCUUUUAGUGCACCUGGAUAAAUGCCCUCAUCCUCAGGCUCAUCAAACAUUUAUCAAAUUAAAUAAAUCUUUUAAAGAAUUGAAAGAUCCAAAUAAGGUAAAAUAAGCCCUACAUCAUCUAGUUGGGCUUGCUUGUCUACCAUGGAUUUUCCUUCCUUUUGCCGCAUUUCGCUCAAGUAGCCUUCAUUUAAGGUUAUAAUAAAUAGGUGGAGCACUUGGAACUAAUGGGCCGUGAAGGAGGACAACUUUAGUUGUGUACCAUUAUGUUGGUCAUAGUUGAACUGCUUGGGACAUCAUUGAGUUUCUAUAUUACAUAUAAGAACUAAAGACACAGAUUGGUAGGACUUUUCCUCCCACUUUAUGGUCAAGUGUCUGCCUUAUGGCAUGUAUUAACUCAAGGCAACCAAGGGUGGGAGGAGAGUCAUUGCUCGAAGAAUAGCAAAGGGCCGGUCAAGAAUUACGGCUUAGCAUCCUUGCCUUUGGUUUGAAUACAAAUCAUAUGAUCUCUUUCUUAGUUAUGCUAAAGUUUGUAGUUUCAAUGCCUGUAAACUUCAAUUUUGUUAUAUUGAUUUUGGUUUAACCUCUAUCCAUUGUAAGAACAAGAAACAAAGGAAAAAGAUAAGGGUGCAGUGAUCUAGAGCUAUAGUAAUAUAUGUGAUUUUGGUUUAACCUCUAUCCAUUGUAUAACAGUGUAUGUAUCGAACUAAAAGUCUUAUUUUUUGGUUUUGGCGAUUA